AUCCUACGGGACGCAGCAGUGGGGAAUAUUGCACAAUGGGCGAAAGCCUGAUGCAGCAACGCCGCGUGAGCGAUGAAGGCCUUCGGGUCGUAAAGCUCUGUCCUCAAGGAAGAUAAUGACGGUACUUGAGGAGGAAGCCCCGGCUAACUACGUGCCAGCAGCCGCGGUAAUACGUAGGGGGCUAGCGUUAUCCGGAUUUAUUGGGUUUAAAGGGUGCGUAGGCGGUCCGUUAAGUCAGCGGUAAAAUUGCGGGGCUCAACCCCGUCGAGCCGUUGAAACUGGCAGACUUGAGUCGGCUAGAAGUG
rnacentral:rRNA from 1 species